rnacentral:lncRNA from 1 species
AUUAUUAGGCUGAUAGGUUUAAAAAAGUAUGUCAAACAGGUGAUUUUUUUUAAGCACGUUGGACAUGUGGAGUUGAAGGGAAAAAAAGUUAAUGGGCCUUCUUUGGGCACGAGCCAAAUACGGCACGAGUGGGCUUGUGCCUUGGACCAUGCCAGGCCCUUAUAAAAAAAAUUACGGCACGACCCAUGUGCGCGUUGGCCAUUUUUAGCUGAAGCAUUGACCAAAGAAUUAAAAAAAUUUCAGGUCAUCUUCAUCCCCAUUUCCUAAUUGAUUAUGAUUAUGAGAUAAACAAUGUUCUUUGGGUUUUGGAGCUGCCUGAGAAGAUUAAGAUUUUCAUGUAGAGGGCAAUAAAAAAUAUUUUGCCAGCAGCCGAAAAUUCAUGGAAAAUGAAGUGUUUGCCAAAGCCUAUCUGUCAAAGAUGCAACAAGAGCGUGGAAACUAUAAGUCAUGCACUUUUUGAUUGUAAAGCAGCAAGGAUAAGUCAUUGAAAAUAAAGGAAAUUAUUAAAA